CAAAUUAAAGCUUUGUAGAAAGCAUUUUAUUUACAUUAAAAAGAUGAUUGUGGAAUUCAGUUUAAUUUGA
rnacentral:tRNA from 1 species